rnacentral:rRNA from 1 species
GUCCACGCCGUAAACGAUGGAUACUAGCUGUUGGAAGCAAUUUCAGUGGCUAAGCGAAAGUGAUAAGUAUCCCACCUGGGGAGUACGUUCGCAAGAAUGAAACUCAAAGGAAUUGACGGGGGCCCCGCACAAGCGGUGGAGCAUGUGGUUUAAUUCGAUGAUACGCGAGGAACCUUACCAAGGCUUAAAUGUAGAUUGACCGGUUUGGAAACAGACUUUUCGCAAGACAAUUUACAAGGUGCUGCAUGGUUGUCGU